rnacentral:lncRNA from 1 species
AUACUUACCUGGAUGGGGUCAAUGGAUGAUCAUUAAGGUUCAUGGCCUAGAUUGGUGACCUCCAUUGCACUUUGGAGGGGUGCUAGUCUAAGGUGUUCUCAAGUAGAACAGCCUACAUCAUAAUUUGUUGCUGUGGGGGCCUGCGUUCGCGCGGCCCCCUUCCAAUUAUAGUUCAAUUUUUUGAAUAGACAACGGUUCCAACACUUUGUUCGAAGUGAGUAAUGUUGGAAUGCCAUGUGGUUUUGUGGUGCACCGUUAAACUAGGUCGGUUCUUGGUCUAUAACACAUAAUCCCCAUAUAUGCAUUUUGCACGUACCAUCAUGCAUUUGGCACAAGUGCGCCCUUCAGUAGCCAACUCUAGUCCACGAUGCUCAUUAAAGAGGUGAGAUUGCAACGUUAAUUAAUGGUCAAAUGAUUUGAGUCAUCAUCGGUUUUGUAACCGAUCUUGGCUCCUUGCCUGUUUAAAAACCUCGUCUCCCUCACUUCUACC